CCGACCUUAGCUCAGUUGGUAGAGCGGAGGACUGUAGUUGGUAAAUGACCCACAGAUUAUCCUUAGGUCGCUGGUUCGAAUCCGGCAGGUCGGA
rfam:Beta vulgaris subsp. vulgaris chromosome 8, whole genome shotgun sequence.